rnacentral:rRNA from 1 species
AUUGAACGCUGGCGGCAGGCCUAACACAUGCAAGUCGGACGGUAGCACAGAGGAGCUUGCUCCUCGGGUGACGAGUGGCGGACGGGUGAGUAAUGUCUGGGGAUCUGCCCGAUAGAGGGGGAUAACCACUGGAAACGGUGGCUAAUACCGCAUAACGUCGCAAGACCAAAGAGGGGGACCUUCGGGCCUCUCACUAUCGGAUGAACCCAGAUGGGAUUAGCUAGUAGGCGGGGUAACGGCCCACCUAGGCGACGAUCCCUAGCUGGUCUGAGAGGAUGACCAGCCACACUGGAACUGAGACACGGUCCAGACUCCUACGGGAGGCAGCAGUGGGGAAUAUUGCACAAAGGGCGCAAGCCUGAUGCAGCCAUGCCGCGUGUAUGAAGAAGGCCUUCGGGUUGUAAAGUACUUUCAGCGGGGAGGAAGGCAGUGAGGUUAAUAACCUUACUGAUUGACGUUACCCGCAGAAGAAGCACCGGCUAACUCCGUGCCAGCCGCCGCUGUAA